rnacentral:rRNA from 1 species
GACGGAGGGCGCAAGCGUUGUUCGGAAUUACUGGGCGUAAAGCGCACGCAGGUGGUCCCUUAAGUCCACUGUUAAAUCACGGGGCUCAACCCCGGAGGUGCAGCGGAUACUGAGGGACUGGAGACCGGUAGAGGCUAGCGGAAUUCCUGGUGUAGCGGUGGAAUGCGUAGAUAUCAGGAGGAACACCGGUGGCGAAGGCGGGUCUCUGGGCCGAUACUGACGCUGAGGAGCGAAAGCGUGGGGAGCGAACAGG